AUCUUAUGGGCUGUGGGUAGAAAAGCAGCGGAAAAGAUGGAUGAUCCUCCGAAGAUGGACGAUCCUCCGAUGUGGGUGCCUGUCUGUUUUUUUUAAAGUCUUAGAUGGCAGUAUUGUGCCAUACAGCCCCUUCUCUUCUGCCCUAUGUGUUUGAAAAAAUACUGAAACGACGACCAGAUGACAAUGCGGACGACAACCAUCAUCCCCCUCAUUCCAAGAGGACAAGGAAGGACCAGACCGAACAGGAUCCUUGUGCUAUAGAGUCGACAAGCAGUGACAAUAGAAGGAACCAAACCAACAUCAAUAAUCCUAACCGUGAGAGAGUGCCAGAGAACAGCUUAAACCAGAGCACUGCUGAACUAGACUCCAAUAUCCCUGAGUUCUCCCAAGAGGAGGACUAUGAAGUGUGCCAAGACCAAGAUCCUUACUCGCAUAUUAACAACAUCUUGAAGGAGGCUCAUUUCUACAGCCUCCAGCAGAGAGGACACUCUCCGACAUGAAGGCCUAGGCAUCCUUCUUUUGUUUAUAAAAUCAAUGGCAUUCAUGCAAAUCGGUCUUGGCUUUUGUCUGUAUUUUUCAGUAAAAGGUCAAUGGGCAUUGUAUUGUUUUGCUGUUUUGCUCCACUACUACAAUCUCAAAGGGUCAUUCAUGACAGUUUGAUGCGUUUCCUGUCACGUCUGAUGUCUUAUUCGUGUUAAAAUAGCAGCAUGAGGACUUCUCC
rnacentral:lncRNA from 14 species